rnacentral:misc_RNA from 1 species
GUUUCAGUAUUUCUCUGAUUUAUUGUUCAGGAUUAAAUGCAUUAUUAUAUGGUCUAGAUACAGGGACAAGCUUCCUCUCCCUCCUCUAGCUAAACCGCAGGAGGGGCGAAAUUCUGCAGCAAGCAAGCUGCUGCAUCACUUGCCAAAUACAAUUACAAUUCACAAGGUGUUGACGAUCGAGGGCAACACAGCCACUCAACCCAAGUUCAUUAAUGAUCCAACCGCAGGUUCACCUACGGUUA